CUGCAUCUGAGUACUGAAAGAUGUUAUGCUUGGCUUUGUGUUUAAGACAAUUAGUUUAUGCAGAUGGGAGGAGAGUUUAAUGCAAAACUGUGAUGUAUUUUCUUCAUAAGCCACACAAGUCACACGUGUGUGUUUGCGCAUACUGACUUGUGGUUACUGUAGAAGGUUCAACAGUCAACAAUGACAGCAAUAAUAAAGGCAUUCUUGCUAACAUUACUUUUACAUGAGAUUGAUUGUCAAACCUUCACUCAGUCUCAAGCUGUGGUUAAAAGACCUGAUGAAUCUUUUAAACUGAUCUGCACCGCUUCUGGAUUUACAUUCAGUAGUUCUGCUGUAGCUGUGGUUAGACAGGCUCCUGGUAAAGGACUCGAGUGGAUUGCAUUCAUCCAUACAGCCAGUUCUCCAAUCUACUAUUCCCAGUCAGUUCAGGGAAGAUUCACAGUGACCAGAGACGACUCCAGCAGUCAACUGUAUCUACAAAUGGACAGACUAAAGACUGAAGACACAGCUGUGUAUUACUGUACCAGAGAGUCACAGUGAAUCAGU